AUAAAGAGAUAUCUGUUUAUCUCUUCAUUCAUAAUGAAGAAACAUCCAAUGAUGGAUUAGAUUCAUCAUCUAAUACAUUUACGCUUCCAUUACGUUACUAUAAUUCUUCCUCGAUCUUUGAGGAAUUUAUCAUUUAGUAUUUCUUAAAUACUUAAGGACUCACUUGACAGUUGCCAUGGUUCUGAUCCUGGGCUUGCACUGAUAUCGUUUUGUACCGUUCUAGGUACAACUCAUAUCAAUGUUUUUCAUACAAUAUGAAAUACAUAAAUCACCUUUCUGCGUAUGCAUAAAGGAUUCUAUUUACGCAUUAUUUCUUUGGGAGUCAAAGAGUACGUUCUCUUUGAGAAGAGCAACUUCUUAGUCUCACUAGAGUUGUCCUUUUUGAUUGAAGUUCAUCAUCAUAUGAGAAACUUCCUAUCAUCUUUUGUCUAUAUUUAGGGCUUGAUAUAAUCCAAUUAUAUCCUAAAAUCUAUCAAUAUAGAUUUCCAUCCCAUGUAUAUAGACUAUGUCUCCCAUAUACAUUCUAUCUUUAUAUAAUGUUUUAAAGUCAUAACUUUAACGAAGAAGUAUUCUUUUCAUUUCCAAAAUUAAUAUAUCAUAUAUAUUUAAAUUUUAGGAACAUGAUUAACUCCCACUAAUCUUGUGUAAACCUAGUAAACAAAAGAUUCAUUUACAUCUUUAUGAGAAAUCAAACGAUUUGAUCAUUUUCUCAUAAGAUGCUUAUAGCUCCCACUAGCUUGCUAAGAUUCAUGAUGGAUGGAUCUCUACAACUUACAUGUCUUGUGAUUUAUAGUUUUAGACAUAUAUUAUCAAGACUAUCUUAAUAAUGGUUUCAGAAACCCAUAUUAUGUCCAAACAUUGAAUCACCAUUUAGUUGUAGCUCGCAAUCUUCGAACUAAUUGAAACCAAGACUACGUUAAAGAUGGUUUCUUCCAAGUCAACCAUUCUCUUUGAUUGUAGUCACUUUAAGCUACCAAUUAGCUUAUGAAGGUUUCAUUAUUUCGGGUCAAAUGGUACUUUACCAUUUCCUUGAGUAUAUAUCAUAUAUACACUCAAUGUAGUCAUAAGGAUUUUCAUUCUUAUUUCUUUCGAAUUAAGAGGUGCAACUCUAUGACAUAGUAAUAAAGUUCAAACCAUUCAACUGAGACGGUUUAUAAAUCCUUCUCGACUACCUUGGAGCUUGUGGUAUAGGAACUAGGUUGUUAUAUUUGUUGAUUACUAUCUUGUCUCUCAAAGAACCCAUUCUUUGAGUUCUAUCUCUCGUUCAUUUGCUCUAUCUUAGGCAAAUCCUGGUGUAGGAUUACAAUGAACUACCCAACAAACAACAUUUGUUAGUUGGUUUAUAGAAGUGAUAUCCAAAUGUUAAUUUAAGGAUACCCACAAGAUAAUUUUUUAAACAAAUAUUGCUUAUUAGCACACAACCCCAAAUCUUAACAUGAUUAAGAUUUGUCUUUCUUUCCAACUACAUCCUAUGGAGUCAUGAAAUUUUUUGGAAGAUCUUCUAAUUGACAAUCAUAUUGUCUUAGAAGUAUAUAUCCUAUAUAUGGGUAAUUGAUAAUAUCCAACGAACUAAAUCUUAUUCUUGUUCGUUCUUCUCCUAAUGGAGAAAUCCAUUAUCUUAUGAUGCUUCUUUCCUUGAUAUUUUUCAAGGAAACUGUUCUAAAGUGUUAUCUUUCCUUGGAUCAAAUCUAAGGAGGCAAAUACUUUAGACGUCUUACUUAUCAACUUACAUUUCUUGAAUUCUUUGAAACCUUUUGCAAAGUAUUCGGACUUGUGUUUAUUCAAAAUAAACUAUAGUCCAACCGAGAGUGAUCUUCGGUGAAUGUCAAACAACAUGAGUAGUAUUAUGUUGUGGACAAGUGCCACUAACAUCUAAGUGAAUUAACCUCAACAACUUUGUGAUUCUUUCUUCUUUCCAAAAGAAUAAAGAUUCGAACAUUUCGCCUCUAUAUAAUUUUAACAAGAAGGUAUUGGAUCAAGAUCUAACAAUCCAAAGCAUCCAUCUAUGACCAACUCGUAAUUUAUGUUUUAGAGGAAGAUUUUGUGAAAACAUGUUCAUUUGAAUAACAUCUAUAGCAUGCAAUUAACAAUUAAAAGGCGGAAUCAUGCUUGCAUGCACUCAAAAACAAAACAUUACCCAUGAAAUUCAAAGCCUAGUAGAUUGGUGAACCUUGACUCAACUUAAAACAACAUUUGUUAGUUGAGAAAUUAUACCUUUGUAGAUUCCUCUUUGCAUAAGCAAAGGCUAAUCACCCAAAGAGAGGGCCUUCAUUCCUUGCAUCUUAGAUCUAUGGAUUUAGAUGGAUGAAAUGGUUCUCCAAGUUCCCAAAAUUGAGAACCUCUAAGUCUCUUCACCAAGGUUAGAUUGGAGAAGAAAUGAGUGACCUUGGAGUAUAAGUCCAAAACCCACUCCUUUAACAAAAUGGCCGGCCAUAGGGUUUCAUUGGGCUUUUAAGGCCUUU
rnacentral:lncRNA from 1 species